rnacentral:rRNA from 1 species
GGCCAGCAGCCGCGGUAAUACGUAGGGGGCAAGCGUUGUCCGGAUUUACUGGGCGUAAAGCGCGUGUAGGCGGCCGCACAGGUCCGUUGUGAAAACUGGAGGCUUAACCUUCAGACGUCGACGGAAACCGUGUGGCUAGAGUCCGGAAGAGGAGAGUGGAAUUCCUGGUGUAGCGGUGAAAUGCGCAGAUAUCAGGAAGAACACCAAUGGCGAAGGCAGCUCUCUGGGACGGUACUGACGCUGAGACGCGAAAGCGUGGGGAGCGAACAGGAUUAGAUACCCUGGUAGUCCACGCCGUAAACGAUGGGUGCUAGGUGUGGGAGGUGUCGACUCCUUCCGUGCCGCAGCUAACGCAUUAAGCACCCCGCCUGGGGAGUACGGCCGCAAGGCUAAAACUCAAAGGAAUUGACGGGGGCCCGCACAAGC